GCCAAGCUCAGUUGCGUGAGCUUGUAACCCAAGUGGGGGCAUUAAAGUGAUAUGGACACUGUUGUAGUGUUGCGGGCCUGGUUUGGGUGUACUACUGUUGGCCCGCCCAUUCCAAGUUGCCUAGUGGACUACUUGGGGCCUAUGCGAAAGUUGGGCCUCACGGUCCAUAAUAUGGCAGGCACAGCGUGAGGCUGGCUUAACAGAGCAGCAACAACAGCCCGCUUUCAAAAAAAAAACCGUGCCUGGCGUGCCAAUGGGAACUGCAUGCCCCCAGCCUGCAACAUUUCCGUCGUGCCGGUUUA
rnacentral:SRP_RNA from 3 species